GAUGAACGCUGGCGGCGUGCCUAAUACAUGCAAGUCGAGCGAACAGACGAGGAGCUUGCUCCUCUGACGUUAGCGGCGGACGGGUGAGUAACACGUGGAUAACCUACCUAUAAGACUGGGAUAACUUCGGGAAACCGGAGCUAAUACCGGAUAAAAUAUUGAACCGCAUGGUUCAAUAGUGAAAGACGGUUUUGCUGUCACUUAUAGAUGGAUCCGCGCCGCAUUAGCUAGUUGGUAAGGUAACGGCUUACCAAGGCAACGAUGCGUAGCCGACCUGAGAGGGUGAUCGGCCACACUGGAACUGAGACACGGUCCAGACUCCUACGGGAGGCAGCAGUAGGGAAUCUUCCGCAAUGGGCGAAAGCCUGGCGGAGCAACGCCGCGUGAGUGAUGAAGGUCUUCGGAUCGUAAAACUCUGUUAUUAGGGAAGAACAAAUGUGUAAGUAACUAUGCACGUCUUGACGGUACCUAAUCAGAAAGCCACGGCUAACUACGUG
rnacentral:rRNA from 1 species